rnacentral:rRNA from 1 species
UACGAAGGGGGGCUAGCGUUGCUCGGAAUCACUGGGCGUAAAGGGUGCGUAGGCGGGUCUUUAAGUCAGGGGUGAAAUCCUGGAGCUCAACUCCAGAACUGCCUUUGAUACUGAGGAUCUUGAGUUCGGGAGAGGUGAGUGGAACUGCGAGUGUGGAGGUGAAAUUCGUAGAUAUUCGCAAGAACACCAGUGGCGAAGGCGGCUCACUGGCCCGAUACUGACGCUGAGGCACGAAAGCGUGGGGAGCAAACAGG